GCCGCGGUAGCCCAGUUGGUAGUGGCGUCGGCAGUAGAUGCCGAAGGUCGCAGGCUCAAAUUCUGCCUGCGGUG